ensembl:snoRNA
AGAGAGAAAGGAUCUCCUCAGGACCUCAGACUGGCCUCACAGAAGCCACCCUUUCCUGGAGUCAUGCAACAGGU